GACGAACGCUGGCGGCGUGCUUAACACAUGCCAGUCGAACCGAAAGGCCCUGCUUUUGUGGGGUGCUCGAGUGGCGAACGGGUGAGUAACACGUGAGUAACCUGCCCUUGACUUUGGGAUAACUUCAGGAAACUGGGGCUAAUACCGGAUAGGAGCUCCUGCUGCAUGGUGGGGGUUGGAAAGUUUCGGCGGUUGGGGAUGGACUCGCGGCUUAUCAGCUUGUUGGUGGGGUAGUGGCUUACCAAGGCUUUGACGGGUAGCCGGCCUGAGAGGGUGACCGGCCACAUUGGGACUGAGAUACGGCCCAGACUCCUACGGGAGGCAGCAGUGGGGAAUAUUGCACAAUGGGCGGAAGCCUGAUGCAGCAACGCCGCGUGCGGGAUGACGGCCUUCGGGUUGUAAACCGCUUUCGCCUGUGACGAAGCGUGAGUGACGGUAAUGGGUAAAGAAGCACCGGCUAACUACGUG
rnacentral:rRNA from 1 species